UGAAAUCCCGUGGGAAGAUGGGGGGACCACCCUCCAAGCCAAAAUACUACCCAAUGACCGAUAGCGUAAAGUACUGUGAAGGAACGGUGAAAAGAACCCCGGGAGGGGAGUGAAAAGAACCUGAAACUCUGUGCUUACAAGCACAUAGAGCACGUCAAAGUGUGAUAUGGUACCUUUUGUAGAAUGGUCCGGCGAGUUAUGGUAUGCAGCGUGGUUAAGGACUUGAGGUCUGAAGCCGAAGCGAGAGCGAGUCUGACAAGGGCGAGAAGUUGUAUGCCAUAGACCCGAAACCGGGUGACCUAGCCAUGUCCAGGCUGAAGUGGAGGUAAAACUCCAUGGAGGGCCGAACCGACCUCCGUUGAAAAGGCGGCGGAUGAGAUGUGGCUAGCGGAGAAAUUCCAAUCGAACCCGGAUAUAGCUGGUUCUCCCCGAAAUAGCUUUAGGGCUAGCGUUGUAUUAGAUUACCGGAGGUAAAGCACUGAAUGGGCUAGGGGCUGAGAAGUUACUGAACCCUAUCAAACUAAGAAUGCCGGAUAAUUGAUGUACAGCAGUCAGACUAUGUGAGAUAAGUCUCAUAGUCAAAAGGGAAACAGCCCAGACCCACAGCUAAGGUCCCAAAAUGGAUUUAAGUGGAAAAGGAUGUGGAAUUGCACAGACAACCAGGAUGUUGGCUUAGAAGCAGCCACUCAUUAAAAGAGUGCGUAAUAGCUCACUGGUCGAGUGACUUUGCGCGGAAAAUUUAACGGGGCUAAAAUACACACCGAAGCUUGGGCUUGACGCUUUUGCGUCAGGGGUAGGGGAGCGUCGUGUAAGGGGCGAAGUCGUAUCGUAAGGGACGGUGGACUUUACACGAGUGAGAAUGCCGGAAUGAGUAGCGAGAAUUAUGUGAGAAUCAUAAUGGCCGAAAGUCUAAGGUUUCCUGAGGAAGGUUCGUCCGCUCAGGGUUAGCCGGGAGCUAAGGUGAGGCGGAAACGCGUAGCCGAUGCACAUACGGUAGAAAUUCCGUAGCCUCCGAAAAUUUAAACACAGGGACACUUUUGAAGGGCUGAGCCGGGCGUUGGUUGCCCCGGUCGUAAGGGACGCGAUAGAGCGGAAGUCAGUUUGGAGAGAGGCGAGAAAAGCUGUGUGGAUAUGGAAGGAGCCCGUACCGCAAACCGACACAGGUAGACAGGAAGAAGAUUCUAAGGCCAGCGGGAGAAAGGUUGUUAAGGAACUCGGCAAGUUGACCCCGUAACUUCGGGAGAAGGGGUGCUUACGAAGGUAAGCCGCAGAGAAUAGGCCCAAGCGACUGUUUAGCAAAAACACAGCUCUAUGCUAAAUCGAAAGAUGACGUAUAUGGGGUGACACCUGCCCGGUGCUGGAAGGUUAAGAGGAGAUGUGAGAGCAUUGAAUUGAAGCCCCAGUAAACGGCGGCCGUAACUAUAACGGUCCUAAGGUAGCGAAAUUCCUUGUCAGGUAAGUUCUGACCCGCACGAAUGGUGUAACGAUUUGGGCACUGUCUCAACAACCUACCCGGCGAAAUUGUAGUACCGGUGAAGAUGCCGGUUACCUGCGACUAGACGGAAAGACCCCAUGGAGCUUCACUGCAGCUUAAUAUUGAAUUUUGGUAUUUCAUGUACAGGAUAGGUGGGAGACUGGGAAAUACAGGCGUCAGCUUGUGUGGAGUCGUUGUUGGGAUACCACUCUUGAAGUGCUGAAAUUCUAACCUGUGGCCUUGAAUCAGGUCAGGGGACAUUGUUAGGCGGGCAGUUUGACUGGGGCGGUCGCCUCCUAAAAGGUAACGGAGGCGCUCAAAGGUUCGCUCAGCAUGGACGGAAACCAUGCCAGAGAGUGUAAACGCAAAAGCGAGCCUAACUGCGAGACUGACGGGUCGAGCAGUAACGAAAGUUGGAGUUAGUGAUCCGGCGGUAUGUGAAUGGAAAUGC
rnacentral:rRNA from 1 species